UUAAAUGUGUAUGAUGAAGUGUUUCGAAAUUAAAACAGUGAAUAUUGAGUAGCAUAGGCGUGCGCAAGGAGGGGUGCAGGGUAUGCAAUUGCGCCCCCAGCGUCAUAAUUUAGUCAUAAUUCUUUUUUUUUAACUUUAUAGAUCCUUUGCUACUAAUACCAAAUUCCUCCACUUCUUUCUAUUAUACGCAUGGUUUAGGUCCCAUGCCAGUCUGCA